GCGGUUAUAGCUCAGUUGGUUAGAGCAUCGGUUUGUGGUACCGAGGGUCGUGGGUUCGAGCCCCAUUAGUCGCC
rnacentral:tRNA from 1 species